rnacentral:rRNA from 1 species
CAGCAGCCACGGUAAAACGGAGGAUCCAAGCGUUAUCCGGAAUCAUUGGGUUUAAAGGGUCCGUAGGCGGUCUUGUAAGUCAGUGGUGAAAGCCCAUCGCUCAACGGUGGAACGGCCAUUGAUACUGCAGGACUUGAAUUAUUGGGAAGUAACUAGAAUAUGUAGUGUAGCGGUGAAAUGCUUAGAGAUUACAUGGAAUACCAAUUGCGAAGGCAGGUUACUACCAAUUGAUUGACGCUGAUGGACGAAAGCGUGGGUAGCGAACAGGAUUAGAUACCCGGGUAGUCCCUGUCUCUUAUAU